CAAUAGCGUAUAUUAAAGUUGUUGCAGUUAAAAAGCUCGUAGUUGGAUUUGUGGUUCGUCCCGCCGGCUGGGUCAUUGACCUUUGCUGUGCUGGUCGUCCAUCCUUGGGUGGAAUCUGUGUGGCAUUAGGUUGUCGCGCAGGGGAUGCCCAUCGUUUACUGUGAAAAAAUUAGAGUGUUCAAAGCAGGCUUAUGCCAUUGAAUAUAUUAGCAUGGAAUAAUGAUAUAGGACCUUGGUACUAUUUUGUUGGUUUGCGCACUGAGGUAAUGAUUAAUAGGGACAGUUGGGGGUAUUCGUAUUCCAUUGUAAGAGGUGAAAUUCUUGGAUUUUUGGAAGACGAACUACUGCGAANGNAUUUACNAAGGAUGUUUNCAUUA
rnacentral:rRNA from 1 species